AUCUGCCUUUGAGCGGGGGACAAUAUUUGGAAACGAAUGCUAAUACCGCAUAACAACUUUAAACACAAGUUUUAAGUUUGAAAGAUGCAAUUGCAUCACUCAAAGAUGAUCCCGCGUUGUAUUAGCUAGUUGGUGAGGUAAAGGCUCACCAAGGCGAUGAUACAUAGCCGACCUGAGAGGGUGAUCGGCCACAUUGGGACUGAGACACGGCCCAAACUCCUACGGGAGGCAGCAGUAGGGAAUCUUCGGCAAUGGACGAAAGUCUGACCGAGCAACGCCGCGUGAGUGAAGAAGGUUUUCGGAUCGUAAAACUCUGUUGGUAGAGAAGAACGUUGGUGAGAGUGGAAAGCUCAUCAAGUGACGGUAACUACCCAGAAAGGGACGGCUAACUACGUGCCAGCAGCCGCGGUAAUACGUAGGUCCCGAGCGUUGUCCGGAUUUAUUGGGCGUAAAGCGAGCGCAGGUGGUUUAUUAAGUCUGGUGUAAAAGGCAGUGGCUCAACCAUUGUAUGCAUUGGAAACUGGUAGACUUGAGUGCAGGAGAGGAGAGUGGAAUUCCAUGUGUAGCGGUGAAAUGCGUAGAUAUAUGGAGGAACACCGGUGGCGAAAGCGGCUCUCUGGCCUGUAACUGACACUGAGGCUCGAAAGCGUGGGGAGCAAACAGGAUUAGAUACCCUGG
rnacentral:rRNA from 1 species